GGUCUUUUAUAUAAAAAGGCAAUGCCAUCAUAUGUAUAUAACAACACAUUUGAAAUAAAGUCAUCUAUAUUUUAGACAUAAAAUGUGUCAUCUUCAUGUUGUUAAAACAAGUCUUCAUCUUCUACAAACAGUGAAACAAUAAUACAAGACACCUACACCAUCAACGUUCAUAAACUUUUUGUCUUUAACAAGGUAUUUGAAAUUAUAUAGUAGGAGUACAUAACGCUUUUUCAGUGACAAAUGCUAAAUUUUGCAUUUAAACGAACUUUCUUAUAACCGAAUCAAUCAAAGUGCUUGAACUAUUGAUGUAAAUGUCAUAAAUCAAAUAAUGAGCAUUUUUAGAUGCUUGAAAAUGAUGUUCAGGAGAUAUUAUUUAAAAAAUUAAAUGUCUUAGACAUUAAAUGUUUAAGAAGUAUCUCAAAUAUAAUUGUUUUGAUCAGGAAAUUGUGUGAUCAAGUAUGUUUUCAGCUAACACAACUCGAGUUUCUAUGGCAGAAACCUACAUUUCCUGAAUUUCAGGCAACCUCGUCUGGAAAAAAGGAGACGAAUAUACUUGUUUAAUAUUGUGUUCGUAUGAAGGACAGCGAUGCAGUUUUCCCGUCGAUACCUCCACCUCACACUCGUGAUAUGUGCAUACGUCUUCUUACUGGUUGUCACAAGAUGGGCUUUCCUUUCACAGGUGAUGAUGGCAGUAAUAGAAGAUGAUGAGGCUUCAAUACUAAGGACACGACACAUUCAUACCGGAAAUCCUGCCAAGGACAUUAGCUUACACGAGAAACAAGCUAACAAUGCUUUUCAGGUCUCAAGUCAUGGAAAUAUUGAAGAUUUGAGACAACAUAAUCUAGAGCAAGACUUAAAGUUCGAGAAACAUUCCAGGGUAGCGCGAAGGGCGAAGGAACACGUUCUACAGGCCAUUUUUUCGAAUUUUCUACAUCCUUGAAAAUGCCUGAGCACGUCAGAUUUAAGCUACAGAGUUUGAUUACUCGUGUGUGCACAAUAUGGUCGCAAUUAAUGCUCGAAUGCAACUUAACUAUUUUAUUUAUUAUUAAAUUAUUAAAAGUUCAGCUGUUUUUUACUUUGAAUUAAGUGUAUGUUUAUAAUAAGGAAACCACGUAUGCAUUCGAAUAGCUUGCUUAAAAAAAUACAGCCUAGAUAGUGAAAUUUCUCGACAGAAACAUUCUAACUCUACCAGAUUUUACUAUGGUAUACAUAUGAAAUUUUCAUUUUUUCGCAAUGUUCACAAAAUUGCGAAUUUUUCUUAAAAAUCUAAAAAAAAAAAACUAAGAAUACGAUGAUAUGAUCAGUUUGGGUCGUUGCUAUUUUUCCGUUGUAAGAAUAAUGCGACUGUAACAAUGUUAUCUAAUAACAUAUUUAUGGUUCUUUUGAUAUUUCAAAAAUAGCAUAAUGUGUGCUUUCACAUGGUAUUUUCCUCAUAACUAGCAUCAAUUUAAUCAUGUUAAGAUGCUAUUUUUUUCUUCCUUCCACUAAACAUCAAUGUGGUCAUUGUUUAUCCAUUCAUUUUGAUGUCGUACCAUUCUUUUGAAUUCGCUAAAAGCCAAGGAAGCGACCAUUUCUGCCAGCACUGGCAUGUGCUAAAAACUGUAUUACAUUAUCACACACUAGUACCGUGCAAACAGGCACCAUUGUAUAUUCACGGUAUUGAUACUCAAAGCUUUAAAGAACGAAUAGACGUUUACAUCAACUUUAAGCUUAUACGCACUAUGACAUUAGUAACUUUGUUCAAUUUCACGAUGUUUACAUGCUCGUGUUUUCGAUUCUCACUAAAACAUUACUGUGAUUCUAUAGUUACAAAUAAAAGCAAUGAUGUAUAGUUUUAAACGCGUCUAUUAUUGAAAUUUUUAUUUUAUUGUCGUAAGUAUUCUCAAGAUUUAUCAAAAGCCUAGGACGUGACUAUUCCUCUACACGCAGACAUGUACUCAUUAAUGUAUCAUAUCAUUACGUACUGGCACCAGGACAAAUAGUACUAGGGGUAUUAUAUAGUAUGCCCAAUAUCACAUAAUU